AUUCAUGUCCGUUUAUAGUGAAGGGAUGAGGACAGAGAAGUAGGAGAUGCUGGAAUCAGGGAUGCCACCAGAAGAAAAGAUUUGAAGGACUAAAGAAAGGUCAACAAUGACAAACACCUCACAGGAGUACGGAACGAGAUCAAUGUGUCUGCCGGUGCCAGCUGACAGAUUUCCAUGGAAAGGGAAGGUGCCCGAGUAUGCCAGACAAGGGUGUCAGAACCACUGGAGCUGAAUUUACAGGUGAAAACAUUGUCAGCCAAAAUUAUUUCCUGAAUCCUCUUCCAGUGAGUGAAUGUCCAGGAGACUCCUUGAACUCGUCUAACUCCAAAGCUGGAGAGUAGAUGUACAGUGAAAGAAAUGUUCCUACUUCCAUAUUGCAUAACAGUUUCCUUUGAGUUGAUAGUUUCCGUUCUACAAGGAAGCCCCUAAAAACCCCUGAAAUAAAUAACUGUGACACUGUCUCUGAAACUGACCAGAUUCACUAGACCCCUCCAUCCCCAAAUUGUGAAGACUCUCAGAUAACCUAAGCUGCCUAGAAGAGGCCCAGAAGAGCCCAGCUGUUUGGAGGAGACACUGACCUGGAGCUGCCUAAAAGUUGUGCAGUGCACUUCAGGGUCCCUGCCUUCCUGAGGCGUGGCUCAUACAGAGGUGGGCUUUGGUGAUGCAGCUGUCUUGGAGUCAUUUCUGCUGCUGUAUGUAUCCUCUCACUCAUACUCUGUAAGAAACCCUAGUAAACUAAUUGGUUCUUCAAGUUUGGCUUGAGUAAUGUUCUUGUUUUUUUGUCUCCCCUACCUGGAGUGAGCUUAGCAAUAGUAUCACAUGAAAUGCUGUG